rnacentral:rRNA from 1 species
UACGUAGGGACCGAGCGUUGUCCGGAAUCAUUGGGCGUAAAGAGCGUGUAGGCGGCCACUUAAGUCCUGCGUGAAAUCUUGCGGCUCAACCGCAAGCGGUCGUGGGAAACUGGGUGGCUAGAGUGCGGGAGAGGAGAGUGGAAUUCCUGGUAUAGCGGUGGAAUGCGCAGAUAUCAGGAAGAACACCCGUGGCGAAGGCGGCUCUCUGGAACGCAACUGACGCUGAGACGCGAAAGCGUGGGGAGCAAACAGG